rnacentral:rRNA from 1 species
UGGGAGCUUGCUCCCUGAUGUUAGCGGCGGACGGGUGAGUAACACGUGGGUAACCUGCCUGUAAGACUGGGAUAACUCCGGGAAACCGGGGCUAAUACCGGAUGGUUGUUUGAACCGCAUGGUUCAAACAUAAAAGGUGGCUUCGGCUACCACUUACAGAUGGACCCGCGGCGCAUUAGCUAGUUGGUGAGGUAACGGCUCACCAAGGCAACGAUGCGUAGCCGACCUGAGAGGGUGAUCGGCCACACUGGGACUGAGACACGGCCCAGACUCCUACGGGAGGCAGCAGUAGGGAAUCUUCCGCAAUGGACGAAAGUCUGACGGAGCAACGCCGCGUGAGUGAUGAAGGUUUUCGGAUCGUAAAGCUCUGUUGUUAGGGAAGAACAAGUACCGUUCGAAUAGGGCGGUACCUUGACGGUACCUAACCAGAAAGCCACGGCUAACUACGUGCCAGCAGCCGCGGUAAUACGUAGGUGGCAAGCGUUGUCCGGAAUUAUUGGGCGUAAAGGGCUCGCAGGCGGUUUCUUAAGUCUGAUGUGAAAGCCCCCGGCUCAACCGGGGAGGGUCAUUGGAAACUGGGGAACUUGAGUGCAGAAGAGGAGAGUGGAAUUCCACGUGUAGCGGUGAAAUGCGUAGAGAUGUGGAGGAACACCAGUGGCGAAGGCGACUCUCUGGUCUGUAACUGACGCUGAGGAGCGAA